UUGGCGGCGUGGAUUAGGCAUGCAAGUCGAACGAAUCCCUGGGGGCUUGCUCUCAGGGGAAAGUGGCGAAAGGGGCAGUAAUGCGUGGGUAACCUACCUCGGGGACCGGGAUAGCCGUUCUAACGGACGGGUAAUACCGGGCGAUGUACCGAGGGGGCAUCUCUUUGCUACGAAAUGAGUUUCGCCUCGAGAGGGGCUCACGUGGUAUUAGCUUGUUGGCGGGGUAACGGCCCACCAAGGCCAAGAUGCCUAGCGGGUGUGAGAGCACGACCCGCGCCACUGGCACUGCGACACUGGCCAGACUCCUACGGGAGGCUGCAGUCGAGGAUCUUCGGCAAUGGGCGAAAGCCUGACCGAGCGACGCCGCGUGUGCGAUGAACGCCUUCGGGUUGUAAAGCACUGUCGAGGGGGAGGAAAGCCCGCAAGGGUCUGACCUAUCCCUGGAGGAAGCACGGGCUAAGUUCGUGCCAGCAGCCGCGGUAAGACGAACCGUGCGAACGUUGUUCGGAUUCACUGGGCUUAAAGGGCGCGUAAGCGGGCUAUCAAGUCUGUGGUGAAAUCCCCC
rnacentral:rRNA from 1 species